GUUUUUAAGUUCUCGCUCCCCAGCCAAAACCUAAACAAAGAUUCCGGUUACAGCUCUUUCAGCGGCGCACGGAGGGAAAGCGGAGGUCUCCUGGAUUCCCAGGUCUUAGGUCUCCCUAAUCCUCACCAAUAUUUCUCUCUACAUUUUCGAAAGGUUUUCCCGUUAAGAUAUUGAAGGGACAAACGAACGACUAGAUUUGAAAUCAAGGAUACAAGAAAAACGAAAAGGCUUCCGGGCUUAGAGAAGGAGGACCUCAGACUGGAGUCUAAAGGGCUGGUCUGGCGUCCGCCCUGCUCCCGGCGCCCGGCGGGACUGAGACCUCACCAGCGGCAUAAUUGCCUGUGUCCAGCACGCUCCAGGGGUUACCCCGUGGUGGGAAAAUAAAUCGGCCGUGCCUUGUUGGUGCCUUCCUAUUGGACUGAAAUUUCUAGAAGCCACUGUUCAUCAAAUGAAAACCAGAGAGGAAGGCCCACUAAGAGGUCUGCCAACACCGUGGAUUUCCUGGCUCUCUCCAAGGAUUGAAUGGGGUAGGAAAGAAAACUAUGUCUGUUCCGGGGCUGUGCGGCUCGCUUGCAAGUUCGGAGGCACUAAGUGUGCCCUGCUAAACCCUUGGGGUGGGGUGCAGGAAAGGGUCUGGAGCCCGUUGAGCCAGGCCUUCGUCUAGGAUCCAAGAAAGAAUCUACCCGACACUCAGAGCUUCCACCUUGGCGAAGAGCUUCCUAAUUGGACGGCGAGCUGCUGCGAAAUCUGCAGUCUUCUAAUUACCCUUCUCCUCCUCCUUGGCGAUUCCUAUCAAAGGCAUAAAAUGGUAUUUUCACACUCUGCUCGAAAGGCAGGAGCCGUUUAUGAACAUCAAGCAUCAAUGGGGCAGAAAAAGGCUGCAUUGACAGAGGUCUCUGGAGUUCGAUAUUUAAAAGCAAUAGAUCCGAAUUAGAAAAUUAUUACUGUAGUGAAAGUCCCCGCCAAUUUAACUAUUGAACUCUGCGCUUCUGAGCUCCUUGUGCUAACUACACUUUUGAAGGGACUUAUCCCGGAACUUGAGCAAAAGGCAGGUCAUACUCUGGUUCUCAGCUUCUAAUGUUGCCCUCUCUGGAGUUGCGAUCCUCCAGAGGGCUGGCAAGGACUCACAAAAUCCUAGUCUAGACAGGGCUGGAACCUGGGGAGAAGCCUAAGUGAAGUAGCUACAGUGUCCUGACCAAAGUCUAGCUUGGCACUUUCUCCAACCCAAGACCGGAGAGAUUCACUUCCUAGUACCGCGCCUCUGCACAGUCGACCCAAGGAUUCUGGGCGGUAAUGUAACCCAAGGAUUAUCUGCUGCACUAGGGUAAUGUGUGACCUUGGCUCCCAAGAAGGAACUGUCAAUGUCCCUGAUGUGAACGCUCAGUUUUGAUCACCCUGAAACUGCAUGCAAGACACUUUGGAUUGUUGCCCACUUCGUGUGCUCAUCGGAGUCUGGAAAGUGGAGAAAAGAGAGCGUCCAGAGGUUUUGUUUUGUUUUGUUGCUAAAAGCCGGAGGCUAGGAAUCUGCUUCUGCACUCUGUGGCACAGAGGGUGAAACUUGCUAACUUUGAGACUUAAACUGGAUCCAGUCUCAGGGGGAAAACAGAGGUGAGAUUAUUCUAGAAAGAGAAGGUCGCCAAGAAGGUGGAUGCCUGAACACCGAUCUGCGGAUUUUCUGCUAGUUGAGGCUGAGAACCUGGGGGUGGGGUGUGUGUGAGUGACUUUCUUUCAAGGGCACACACACACAUACACACACACACACACACACACACACACACACACACACACACUCUAGGUACCCUGGUGUGCAGAACAAUGCGGCUCUCCUUGACUCUGUGGGAAGCCUUCAGGUCUCUAUGAAGAUAAACUCUGGAGAUCCGAGGUAGGAGAGCCAGGCUCUCCUGUUAAGGUUACUGAGCCUGCACACAAGCAGAGGAAACCUGGGCCCAGUAAAUGAGCAGAGAAAUGAAGUGAGAAAAGAACUUGGGGGCCAUUGGAAGCCCAAAACUAAUGGAAGGGGCUUCCUGGAAGACUCCAUUUAUGCAGUGUGACAUCCUCAAACCCAUAGUCUCAUCUAAAGCACGCCUGUGAUUUGGAAACGUGGGUGUUUUGUGCCUUUUGUCAUGACCAAUAAACCAGGAACCUCGG